GUUUGGUUUCUAUUUCUGUUCACUGUGAAGGGAUUUUUGAAAGAAUAGCAAUAGAAUAUUUGAAUUUAAAAAUUGGAGAGCUUAGAGAUCCUGUAGUACAACAUGGUUGUGUUCCAGAGGAGGGAAUUGAGGCCCAAAGAUACUAACUGACUUGCUUAUAAAAUAUAUGCUGGCAACGUUAGGACAAAACCAUAAAGUUUAUGCACAUAUAAAACACUAUUUCUUAAUCUGAUCAGAGAAUGAGAAGUUGAAAGAGAUAUUAAGGGUCCUAGUCAAGUAUGAACAUAAUUUGCAGUCGAUUCUUAUGUAACAGCUGUGUAGUUGCAGAUUUGCCUUCGCUCCAUAUUCCUGCUCAGAAAUACCAACUCUGAAUUUAACUGCUUCUUCCCAGAUUACCGUUAAUCCCUUGUGGCUCAGACAGCAGAGAAUCUGUCAGCAAUGCUGGAGACCCGGGGUUUGAUCCCUGGGUAGGGAAGAUUCCCUGGAGAAGGGAAUGGCAACCCACUCCAGUAUUCUUGCCUGGAGAAUUUCAUGGACAGAGGAGUCUGGCGGGCUAUAGUCCAAGGGAUUGCAAAGAGUCUGACAUGACUGAGCGACUAACCCUUUCAUUUUCACUUUCCAGGUUAGAUGGUCUACUAUUACCUACUUACCCUCAUGGAUCAAGGUCUAUACUAUGUUCAGGUAACUGAUGAAUGCCUUCCGUGUGCCCAGCAGGGACACCCAGUAAGUUGACCAGCUGGAGUAAGUUGGGAGUAGAGAGGUAAGGAUUGUCAUUGGAAGGACUGAUGCUGAAGCUGAAGCUCCCAGGCGGCCCUAGUGAUAAAGAGCCCACCUGCCAAUGUCGGAGAGGUGCUGGUUAGAUCGCUGGGUUGGGAAGAUCCCUUGGAGGAGGAAAUGGCAACCCACUUCUUGCCUGGAGAAUCCCAUGGAUAGAGGAGCCUGGCGGGCUAUAGUCAAUAGGGUCGCAAAGAGUUGGCCACUAAUGAAGUGACUUAGCAAGCAGGCAUGUGCUUAUUAGGAAGACAUAUAUUUAACCUUCCCUGGUGGUUCAGACAGUAAAGCUUCUGCCUACAAUGCGGGAGACCCGAGUUCAAUCCCUGGGACAGGAAGAUCCUCUGGCGAAGGGAAUGGCAACCCACUCCAGUACUCUUGCCUGGGAAAUCCCGUGGACAGAGGAGCGUAGUAGGCUAUAGCCCAUGUGGUCGCAAAGAGUCAGACACGACUGAGCGACUUCGAAGUAUUUAGGGACAAUGUGGCACCCUCUCAGUAACUUAGAUCUCAAAUGGUU
ensembl:lncRNA